GGACCCGUUCAGAGACACUGGCAGAUAUGGGCGUUUAUGGAGACUUAUGAGCGAGGCUGUAGCGGAGAUGGCGGCUUUGGCUCCGGCAGGCAUCGCAAAGACACCGUACCGCUUCUGUAAAGGGAAGGGAUGUGCAACACCCGCGUGCCCAAGCGCAUAUCAUCAGCCGUUCAGACCGAGCCGAAACACCGCGAUGCACACGCACCGAGCUCCGCUCUCCCGGGGAGCGGGAUCACAUCAGCCUCCCCGAUGCAUCUCAAAACGACAUUUGUGGUUCUCUGGGAAGCGUGGCAGGGGGAUUAGGCGAGUGUGU